GCUGGGUGUGGUGGUGCACGCCUGUAAUCCCAGUUGCUUGGGAGGCCGAGGCAGGAGGAUCAUGAGUUCAAAGUUAGCCUCAGCAAUGGUGAGGCACUAAGCAACUCAGUGAGACCCUGUCUCUA
rnacentral:sRNA from 1 species